UCUUGGAGGACUUUGGAUGCCAUGCUCUUUGGAUCUUAUUUUUAUGGGUCAUUGUGGAGAGGGGGAAGUAGAUUCGGAUUUCAGAAUCAGCACCCUGGCAGCACUGAGGAAAGCGACUCGGAGGAGGACGACGAAGGCACUGGACGCAGAGACCAGUACGGAGGCUCCUACAUGGGAGAAAGGCUGGAAUAAGGAAGGAAGCUUCCUUCCUCUGAAGGAAGACCAAGCUGGGAGACAUCAGGCUCAGGAGUAUACAGAACAAGGAAGGGAGACGAUUGGGUUGGAGGAACAUGGAAGGAGGUUUUAGCUGUUCUGGUACAAAUCAGUUUUUAUUGGUUAUAAUGCUUUCUGAGAAGUAGGGAAGAGAAAUUCUAAAAAUGAAAAGAGACGGACAGGAAAGGACACUAACAACAACAAAUAAUAAUAAUAAUAGUAGUAGUAGUAGCAGUAGUAGUAAUAUAAUGUCAGGAAUGAAGUAGAGAAGGAAUAAACAAAGUUACAAUCUCAGAGGAAUGUAUCAUUAAUAAAGGGAAACAUGACAGGCUUGAAAGGAGGAGCCUCCUGGGUUUUGUUUUGGACCGCCUGUCGUUUGAUGUGAGAAUGGGUCAUUCCAUUUGGAGAUUUUUCUCUCUUUUCCAGCAGCCCUGGGCUCCUUUGUUGUUCUGGAACAAGCCAGGCAUAUUUCUACUGCAGAGCCUUUGAACUGGCUAUUUCACUGGCUUCAAAUGCUCUCCCCACCCCCACAUGGUAUCUCCCACACUUUCUCUAAUUCUUUCCUUAAGCCCCACCUCUGAAUGAGGCCUACGUGACCACCCCAUUUAAAACUGUAACUGGCUUUCUCAAGUUCUAUAUUCUGCUUUCUUGUCUUCUUUUUCCUAGUGCUAUUACCUGCCUUCUAGCUUAUGCUAUUUACUUAGAAUGCCUUAUUUGCUGUAUGUCUUUCGUUGCUAGCAUGCAAGCCCAUAAUUGCAGGGAUCAUUCCCAGUUUGGUUCAGGGAUGCAUCCCAGGCUACCCAGCACACCAUAGGUGUUCAAUAAGUAUUUGUGAAGAAAUGAAUUAUGAUAAUGAAUGUUUAUGGGACAUAUGCUUGGUUAAAGCACUUUACCAAAUGCUUUACAUUGAAUCCUUACUGUCAUUCUUGGGCAGGGGGCUGGGGGGGUCCUACUCUUUUCCCAUUUUACAGAUAAGGACACAGAGGCUCAGGCAGAUUACAAAACUAAUCCAAGUUUACAUAAAGCUCGCAAGAGUUAAAGCCAGUGUUCAAACACAGAAAUGCCUGAGCCCCAAGCCUGAAUCUGGCCCGCAAACCCUCACACCACGUCUUCACUGGGAAGCCCGUGGAAGCCCAGCACAUUCUUGGUUGACAGAUCAUAUCUGCAGGACGGAUUUGCAGUGGAAGCCAUCUGAAGGAAUGAGUUAUCCAAGAGAAACCUUGUCCCAGUGGCCUGGAGAGACAGAGAGGCUGAGGCAGCUGCCAUGCAUACUUUCGAAAGAUAAUAAAACUGGAAUUUGAACCCAGAGUUUUCCCUCUUCAGCGGUUUAUAAGGACAACGAGGUUUAAAUCCACAUUCCCCCCUCCGUUCCUUUCUCAAAGGGAAAUGCAGGCUGAAUCCCUAUUAUCCGCCAAUGUUCGGCAAAGUCCACCCAAAAUAAGAUUCCCUUAAUGCCGGCACUUACUGGGAUUGUUUUAUGUGAACAAUUCGCUUGGUUUCUGUUUCACCAGACAAGACCCCUUUACCAUUUUGUAUACUGUAGCUCUAAGAUUCACUAUAGAUUAGGGGAUUGACAACACAAGAGUAGUAUUGGGGGAAAAUCGUAAUUGGGAUCCUUGUUUUACCAAUUCUGGCAGCAGCUCCCGGUUAUAACAGUAUUUCCUAACCCUUUUGGACAGGGAUUUACUCUUCCGGUGUGUUUUUAGGGCAAGAUGACCUUUCACUCCCUUUGGAUGAGCGCCCUCUUGCGGUGGAUCACGAGUUUGCACAUCUCCGUCCAGCUCCAGGGCUCUUGGCGAGCCAUGCACAGAGUUUUGUCUGUCUGUUCUCUGACAUCCCUGCUAAAAGGAAGUACACCCUGCACGAUUUUCCUUCUUGAGCGGCCCCUGGUGUGCUUUACACAUAAAGGCAAAUAUGCCGUUUUUAUUUCUAGACUUUUUCACCGUAUAUUUGUAUGCCAACUGUUGUUACUGUGACCGAUUUUAGUUCUAAUUGGUUUCUCCCUGUUACGGAGGGUAAUUGGUGACUGAGAGCAGACA